rnacentral:tRNA from 1 species
GCCAUUGAUGUCACUAGACUUCCAUGGCUUCCGAAGCCAUUGGUCGGGGGUUCGAAUCCCUCCAGGCGCGCCA